rnacentral:rRNA from 1 species
UAAGGGAUAUUGGUCAAUGGGGCGGGAGCCUGAACCAGCCAUGCCGCGUGAGGGAAUGAGGCCCUACGGGUCGUAAACCUCUUUUGCCGGGGGAUAACGGGCGCCACGCGUGGCGCCGUGAAGGUACCCGGAGAAUAAGCAUCGGCUAACUCCGUGCCAGCAGCCGCGGUAAUACGGAGGAUGCGAGCGUUAUCCGGAUUUAUUGGGUUUAAAGGGUGCGUAGGCGGAUGGGUAAGUCAGCGGUGAAAUGUCCCGGCUCAACCGGGGAACUGCCAUUGAUACUGCCUGUCUUGAAUGCGGAUGCCGUGGGAGGAAUGUGUAGUGUAGCGGUGAAAUGCAUAGAUAUUACACAGAACACCGAUUGCGAAGGCAUCUCACGAAUCCGUUAUUGACGCUGAGGCACGAAAGCGUGGGGAUCAAACAGGAUUAGAUACCCUGGUAGU